UACGUAGGGGGCUAGCGUUGUCCGGAAUCAUUGGGCGUAAAGCGCGUGUAGGCGGUCCGGUAAGUCCGCUGUGAAAGUCGGGGGCUCAACCCUCGAAUUCCGGUGGAUACUGUCGGGCUAGAGUGCGGAAGAGGCGAGUGGAAUUCCUGGUGUAGCGGUGAAAUUCGUAGAUAUUAGGAAGAACACCGGUGGCGAAGGCGGCCCACUGGUCCGGUACUGACGCUGAGGUGCGAAAGCGUGGGGAGCAAACAGG
rnacentral:rRNA from 1 species